rnacentral:rRNA from 1 species
UACGUAGGCAGCAAGCGUUGUUCGGAAUUACUGGGCGUAAAGAGUGUGUAGGCGGUGCUCUAAGUUUGGUGUGAAAUCCCCGAGCUCAACUCGGGAACUGCGUCCGAUACUGGCGGGCUUGAAUCCGGGAGAGGGAUGCGGAAUUCCAGGUGUAGCGGUGAAAUGCGUAGAUAUCUGGAGGAACACCGGUGGCGAAGGCGGCAGUCCUGGACCGGCAGUGACGCUGAGGCGCGAAAGCUAGGGGAGCAAACGGG